AGCGAACGCUGGCGGCAGGCCUAACACAUGCAAGUCGAACGAAGUCUUCGGACUUAGUGGCGGACGGGUGAGUAACACGUGGGAACGUACCUUUUGGUUCGGAACAACUCAGGGAAACUUGAGCUAAUACCGGAUGAGCCCUUAGGGGGAAAGAUUUAUCGCCGAAGGAGCGGCCCGCGUUAGAUUAGCUAGUUGGUGAGGUAAAGGCCCACCAAGGCUACGAUCUAUAGCUGGUCUGAGAGGAUGAUCAGCCACACUGGGACUGAGACACGGCCCAGACUCCUACGGGAGGCAGCAGUGGGGAAUCUUGCGCAAUGGGCGAAAGCCUGACGCAGCCAUGCCGCGUGAAUGAUGAAGGUCUUAGGAUUGUAAAAUUCUUUUACCAGGGACGAUAAUGACGGUACCUGGAGAAAAAGCCCCGGCUAACUUCGUGCCAGCAGCCGCCGUAACAC
rnacentral:rRNA from 1 species